rnacentral:misc_RNA from 1 species
GUACUCUCACACUUCUGAUCCUUUGGAUUAGGAGCGGUGGACUUGGGUGCUGCUGCUUUACUGUGGCUCACCUCAAAUGCAUUAGUGCACCUCUUGGUUGGACAUAGUACGGUGUGAUAAGUGUCUUCGCCGGCACCUCACUCUUAAGAGGAUGGCCGAUCGGGAGCUCUGUGCUUCCAACUGUCUGCGGACAACGACUGACA